AUUGAACGCUGGCGGCAGGCCUAACACAUGCAAGUCGAGCGAGCGGCGGACGGGUGAGGAAUGUAUGGGGACUGCCCGAUAGAGGGGGCGAACUAAUGGAAACGCUAGCUAAUAACGCAGACUAUCGGAGAACGCAUGUGGGAUUAGCUAGUGGGUGAGGUAAUGGCUCACCAAGGCGACGAUCCCUAGCUGGUCUGGGAGGAUGAUCAGCAACACUGGGACUGAGACACGGCCCAGACUCCUACGGAGGCAGAAGUGGGGAAUAUUGCACAAUGGGCGAAAGCCUGAUGCAGCCAUGCCGCUUGUAUGAAGAAGGCCCUAGGGUUGUAAAGUACUUUCAGUCGGGAGGCGUUACCGACAGAAGAAGCACCGGCUAACUCCGUGCCAGCAGCCGCGGUAAUAC
rnacentral:rRNA from 1 species